rnacentral:rRNA from 1 species
UACGGGGGGGGCAAGCGUUGUUCGGAAUUACUGGGCGUAAAGGGCUCGUAGGCGGCCAACUAAGUCAGACGUGAAAUCCCUCAGCUUAACUGGGGAACUGCGUCUGAUACUGGAUGGCUAGAGUGUGGGAGAGGGAUGCGGAAUUCCAGGUGUAGCGGUGAAAUGCGUAGAUAUCUGGAGGAACACCGGUGGCGAAGGCAGCUCGCUGGGACGGUACUGACGCUGAGGCGCGAAAGCGUGGGGAGCGAACAGG